UACGUAGGGGGCGAGCGUUGUCCGGAUUUAUUGGGCGUAAAGAGCUCGUAGGCGGCUGUUAAAGUCGGGUGUGAAAUCCCAAGGCUCAACCUUGGGUCUGCAUUCGAUACUGGGUGGCUUGAGUCUGGUAGGGGGACCUGGAAUUCCUGGUGUAGCGGUGAAAUGCGCAGAUAUCAGGAGGAACACCGAUGGCGAAGGCAGUGGUCUGGGCCGAUACUGACGCUGAGGAGCGAAAGCGUGGGGAGCGAACAGG
rnacentral:rRNA from 1 species